rnacentral:rRNA from 1 species
AAUGAACGCUGGCGGUAUGCCUAACACAUGCAAGUCGAACGGCAGCACAGGAAGAGCUUGCGCUUACGUGUGUCGAGUGGCGGACGGGUGAGGAAUACAUCGGAAUCUACUUUUUCGGGGGGGAUAACGUAGGGAAACUUACGCUAAUACAGCAUACGACCUACUGGUGAAAGCAGGGGAUCUUCUGACCUUUCGCGAUUGAAUGAGCCGAUGUGGGGGUAGCUAGUUGGCGGGUUAGAGGCGCACCAAGGCGACUAUGCGUAGCUGAUCUGAGAGGGUGGUCCGCUACACUGGAACGGAGACAGAGCCCCGACUCUUAGGGGAGGCAGCAGUCCGGACUCUUGGACAAUGGGGGAAAGCCUGAUCCAGCAAUACCGCGUGGGUCAAGAAGGCCCUCGGGUUGUAAAGCCAUUUUGUUGGGAAAGAAAAGAAGCACGUUAACACGCCGCUGUACUGACGGUACCGAAAGAAUAAGCACCGGCUAACUUCGUG